rnacentral:rRNA from 1 species
AACGAACGCUGGCGGCAUGCCUAACACAUGCAAGUCGAACGAGACCUUCGGGUCUAGUGGCGCACGGGUGCGUAACGCGUGGGAAUCUGCCCUUGGGUUCGGGAUAACAGUUGGAAACGACUGCCAAUACCGGAUGAUGUCUUCGGACCAAAGAUUUAUCGCCCAAGGAUGAGCCCGCGUAGGAUUAGCUUGUUGGUGAG